AAGACUAUACUUUCAGGGAUCAUUUCUAUAGGUUGUACCUGGUGAGAUGCGCUCUAAAGUGUCUGAACUCACAAACCACGAUGAGGAGCUGUCAGUGUUCUCUCCUGAGCGGGAAGUGAGCUCUCAGCGCUGCUUUAUUGUGGCUGCUGUUUGCUAAUGAUGAACGUUCCACUCCCUUAUAUUAUAGGGGAGUCGGGGGGAGAGAGCGCAGGCUGAGUGGUU
ensembl:snoRNA